GAUGAAGAACGUAGCGAAAUGCGAUACUUGGUGUGAAUUGCAGAAUCCCGUGAACCAUCGAGUCUUUGAACGCAAGUUGCGCCCGAAGCCAUUAGGCCGAGGGCACGCCUGCCUGGGCGUCACACGUCGUUGCCCCCCCAUCUACUCCUUCGGGAUUGCGGGGGGCGGAUGAUGGCCUCCCGUGCGCCACGCCGCGCGGUUGGCAUAAAUGCCAAGUCCUCGGCGACGCACGCCACGACAAUCGGUGGUUGCGAAACCUCGGUUGCCCGUCGUGUGCGUUCGUCGCGCAUCGAGGGCUCGAAAAAAUGCUCGGCUCCGGCUGGGCUUUCAACGCGACCCCAGGUCAGGCGGGGUUACCCGCUGAAUUUAAGCAUAUCAAUAAGCGGAGGA
rnacentral:misc_RNA from 1 species